AACCUUUAUACCCAGAGGUUCAACUCCUCUCCCUAACA
rnacentral:tRNA from 1 species